UGCAUAAGGCUUGCGUACAUCUGUCUUUCCCCAAACGUACUUCCAACUUCCAAGUGGGACAUAGGAUUUCUUGUAAUUUCUUUAGUCACAUAAUGCAUAAGGUUUGCGUACAUCUAUUUAGCAAAAAAAAAAAGGUUUGCGUACAUCUGUCUCUCCCUGAAUGUUCUUCCAAGUGCGGCAUAGGUUAUUUCUGUAACCAUGAAUAGAUUGGUAUUAUUUAAGCGGUUACAGUACUAGGUGUCAAGUAAUAUCUUCGUUAAAAACAAAUUUAUAGUAUUUUGAUGUUCCUCCUAACACCCACAUGUAUACAAAGUAUUUUUUCUAAGAAAUUCAACGACAUUGUUUU
rnacentral:lncRNA from 1 species